AACUCGGUGGUGGCCACUGCGCAGACCAGACUUCGCUCGUUUUCGUGCGCCUCGCUCCGCUUUUCCUCCGCAACCAUGUCUGACAAACCCGAUAUGGCUGAGAUCGAGAAAUUCGGUAAGUCGAAACUGAAGAAGACAGAGACGCAAGAGAAAAAUCCACUGCCUUCCAAAGAAACGAUUGAACAGGAGAAGCAAGCAGGCGAAUCGUAAUGAGGCGUGCGCCGCCAAUAUGCACUGUACAUUCCACAAGCAUUGCCUUCUUAUUUUACUUCUUUUAGCUGUUUAACUUUGUAAGAUGCAAAGAGGUUGGAUCAAGUUUAAAUGACUGUGCUGCCCCUUUCACAUCAAAGAACUACUGACAACGAAGGCCGCGCCUGCCUCUCCCAUCUGUCUAUCUGGCUGGCAGGGAAGGAAAGAACUUGCAUGUUGGUGAAGGAAGAAGAAGUGG